CUAUGUGUUUAAAGUACACUUGAAGUGUUGGGCCUGGUUAGUACUUGAAUGGGAGACCACCUAGGAAGACCUGGUGUUGUAGACG
rnacentral:rRNA from 1 species